rnacentral:sRNA from 1 species
AAAAAUGCAUUAAUAUACGCAUUCCAGUCACAAUUCCAGACCUUUCAGUCAACAGGAGCAAAACUCAAACUUCUGGGCAGCAGUAUCAAGACACUCAAGGGACAAUUCCUGGCACGUUUCAGCGAACACAGCAGAACGGGUCACCAUGUCAGCUUUUUCCGCCAUUUUCGCACGGAAUAUAUCAAACUCAUCUUGAAUGCACCAUUCUCCACUGGCGCAAUUCAGCAGUAACUCAUUUAUGACAUCAUCCGAGAACAUGACGUAAUAGAUGUCCCAAAUAUUGGCGAUUUUGACUAAACUCGGCAGGUCCUCGGUACAGAGAGAUUGAAGAAUGUUAUAAGAUGUUGUACAAUCCUGCUUAGAAAUUGUCGUGAAGGUAGCAUUACCAUGAGUUGAUGUUACGUCAUCAUUCGAUAAACUAUAUUCCGAAGAAGGAGUCAUCGAAGUGGUGGCUUGAGACAGAUCUAGAAAGGCAUCAUUCUCAUCUGGCUUGCUUGGCGGUACAGGUGUCGAUGUCUCGUUCUCUGAUGACGUAAUUUGAGCAAUGCUCUCGUUGUUUGUACGUGUUAUGACUGUCGCAUUGUCAAUGGUAGUGCUAGAGUUAUUUUGUGACGUCAUAUUGUCUGCAAGAAGCGGAUCUAAAGUGGUUGAGGGUGUACUUGAAUAGUCUUGGUUUUCUUGGUUACGUAAGCUAUCCAGUAUUUCCUGUAGCAGAUCUUGGUUUUCAGAAUCAGAAUCUCCAUCACAAAUACCACUAAUUAUAAGGAGUAAUAAUCCGCCGAUGAAAAUAGUCCACAUUGCUCUGAUUUAUCCUAUGGAUGUAUUUUAAGAAAUCUACGGUAAACGCUGUAUAACUUCAACACAAAAUCGUGCUGGUUCAAAAAGCAGCUGUUUCUCUUAAGAAGACAUAAAACUUCGUGUUGGUUUUUGAAGGUAUUCACCUAACGAAAAUCAGUGGAGAUUUUAAGGUGAUAGUCGCAUUUUUUUUAAAAAUAAAGAUGUGUACCAUUUCAAAAAAAAUCAACUAUUAUAUUCCAUAUCAUACUCAUUUUAUGCUAUGUCAUUGACAGAAGAAAACAAAAAUGAUCAUGCUUUGCACAACUUUUGUUCAGAUUUUAUGCGAGCCUCUUCAGACGUCAUAAUUAUUGUCAACCUUUUCAACCCCCUCUAAUCAUAAGAUAUUGAUAAAUCCGUUUACACUACAGAGAUAACACAAUGUUCGAAAAGAAAACGUGUUACCAAAAUCAAUAAUCAAUGAUUUUAAAAAGCCAAAAAAGCGUUCUGUUGUCCAACUUUCCGGAUCAACAUCCGAGGAUCAAUAGCAGGUCAUCACCAGACUAAGCCGUAUAAGUUCAAUGCCGAAACAGAGUUGUGUACAUACAUACAUGUAGUAAUUUAGCAAUAGUGUAAAUAAAUGUUCGAUCUGCUAUUGAUGUAUUUAAUAUAUAGGGUACAGCAAAACUUUUGGUAAAGAUUUACAAUAUAC